UUCACCGGUAGUGGAAUCCUAAUAGUGUUAUUAGUUUUUUCAUAUUCCCACUUUCCACUACCGAUCUAGCUUAUCACCGGUAGUGGAAUCCUAAUAGUGUUAAUUAUAUUUUUCAUUCUUCCCAAUUUCCCUCAUUCUGCAAACGCGAAGAAGAACACACUCUCCAAUCCAAUCGUCCCAAUUCUAGUUCUCCCUAAUUUGUUCCUCAAAUCGUCCCAAUUUCUUCAAAUCAAACACUCUCCAAUCGUUCUCCAAUCAUUCUCCAAUCUCUCCAAUCUCCAAUCGUCCCAAUUUCAUUCGCGGUUUCAUUCUCCAAACCCUAGACGGAACGACGAACCUGCAAACGCUUAAUCGCCUCCAAAUCUCUUCGUUUUCAUUCGGUAAAGGGGUGGAGCUGUUUUCUGUGUUAGGCGGUGGUUGCUGCUCCUACGUGUUGACUGCUGCUGUUUAGGGGCUGGUGUUGCUGUUUUUUGGUGUUGUCCUCUUUGUUUGAAGUUAGAAGGUUCAAUCACGGUCUCAUCUACAGGUAUGGACCGUAGUUGGAUGAGAGCUAAUCGAUUAAGUACUGAGUACAGACAUGGAGUGAUGGAAUUUCUACAGUUUGCGGAAAGUAAUGCUGAACUAGAACGUCCUCCUCCUGAAUUUCCUCCACUUUUUCUAUGUCCGUGUAUAAAUUGUGCAAAUAAAGAACCAAAACGUACUAAGAAAGAAAUCAUGAAUCAUCUAAUUUGUGACGGGAUUUGUCAAAAUUAUACACAAUGGAUAUGGCACGGUGAAGUAGUAGCAACGCCAAGUGUGUCCCAUAGAGAAAGUGGUAGUGUGGAUAUCGAUGAUCGACUAGAAGACAUGAUGCGUGAUAUUGGAGAAGAUUCGUUUAAGAGGGCGCAUGUGUAUGAAACUUUAUGCAGUGACAAGGAUGAACCAUUGUAUCCGGGAUGCACAAAUUUU